CUAAUAGUAUUGUGAAUUUAACCAUCUUAAAAAAUGUUUUCUAAAAAUUCUAAAAAAUUUGAGCCCACUAUUUUCACAUUUUCUUUCUAUAUUUGGGGAAACUACAGUUUUAUUGGUAAAAUUGUAAUGAUUCAGAUUUUCUCACUGUACAUUACGCAAUACGUUUGUUAACUCUUGGUUGGUUAAUUCUCUAACCAAUUUUGGUGUUUCUCUUUUUAAUCGACAGGUGUUCUUUUUUGUUGAAUAAAACCUCAAAUUAUAAGCAACUUAAAAAGGAGAAUAUAACAUUUUAGUCGCAUGAAAAUGGCGAAUUAAAAACAUUUAUAAAAAAGAAAUAUAGCUACUCAAUAGACGUUUUUGUUUGACUAGAGCAAAAAUGAACUGCUAAUGAAAAUAUCGGCUGGCUCUCGAACAAUGGCUUUGUAAUGAAACACCGAAGACGGCCCUGUAUAUUAAUAUCUUCGAAUAUCUAGUCAUGCGAAUAAUAAACAGAUUGCAACGUUUUUAAUCGACGUUAACAGUAUAGAAGGUUCACAGGGUAUGAAGGUACAACUGUGUCUUUGUGCGUGUAAAUGAUAUGCCUACGAUAUAAAGGUCUACAUAAAGGAAAUUUAUUCUAUUUGGUCAUCCGGUGCCGAAAGGAUAAAGAAACCAAGUCAAACAGUUCUUCGGCCUACUCUCCGGUUCAUACGAGGAAUAUAGAAGUUUAUAUACCUAUAAUAUGUAUUAUAUAUUGUACUAGCUUAUGCGC